GAUGAACGCUGGCGGCGUGCCUAAUACAUGCAAGUCGAACGAAACUUCUUUAUCACCGAGUGCUUGCACUCACCGAUAAAGAGUUGAGUGGCGAACGGGUGAGUAACACGUGGGCAACCUGCCCAAAAGAGGGGGAUAACACUUGGAAACAGGCGCUAAUACCGCAUAACCAUAGUUACCGCAUUGUAACUAUGUAAAAGGUGGCUAUACUACCGCUUUUGGAUGGGCCCGCGGCGCAUUAGCUAGUUGGUAGGGUAAAGGCUUACCAAGGCAAUGAUGCGUAGCCGAAUUGAGAGGUUGAUCGGCCACAUUGGGACUGAGACACGGCCAAAACUCCUACGGGAGGCAGCAGUAGGGAAUCUGCCACAAUGGGCGAAAGCCUGAUGGAGCAACGCCGCGUGGGUGAAGAAGGUCUUCGGAUCGUAAAACCCUGUUGUUAGAGAAGAAAGUGCGUGAGAGUAACUGUUCACGUUUCGACGGUAUCUAACCAGAAAGCCACGGCUAACUACGUG
rnacentral:rRNA from 1 species